AUGUGGGCAAUUUGGAACAAUAGAAACAAACACACACAUGGUGAAGCUGCCUACCAACCGUGGAAGUCAAUGCAGCUAGUACAGGAGCUUGUUAGAGCACUGGAUGUACCUGUAGUGGAAGUAAAACAAACCAAACCUCGGCCUUCGUGGAAGGCACCAGAGGAAGGAUGGCUCAAGAUUAACUCUGAUGGUGCGAUCGGUGUGUCAGCGAAUUGCGCUGGGACGGGAGUGGUUGUGAGAGACCACUUGGGCACUUUUGUUGCUGCAAAAAUAACCAGGCAUGAUGUUGUUUCGGACCCUUUCAUCAUUGAAGCAUUAGCUUGCAGAGAUGGAAUGAUAGUGGCCAUGGAAAAGGGAUUUCAGAAGGUUACUAUGGAGACAGAUUGUCAGGUAGUUGCUGCGGCCUGGGACGAUGCAAAUGAUAGAUCUGGUGCUGGUCAUAUCUUUCGAGAGAUGCGGUCAUAUCUCUCAAACUUUCAAGGAUUUUCAAUAGUCUUUUCUCAGUGUAGUGCAAACUUUGCAGCUCAUUUGUGUGUAAAGGAAGCACUGAAUUUGGAGACUGUUAGCUCCUCUUAUGAUGUAAUCCCUGCCUUUUUGAUUGCCCAAGUGCAGUCAGAAGUUGUACCGCUUACUAAUAAUCAAUAA
rnacentral:rRNA from 1 species